AGUUCUGACCUCUGCGAGAGACAGGGAACCUGGCAGGGGCCACCAGGCCCGGUGGGCGGAGAAUAGGAUGGGGUAGCAAGGAGCCUGCUGGGAGCCUCUCCUGAGGCCCCUGAGGCCAGGUCUGCCCCCUCAGUACAUGGCAGGCCUUUGGUGAGAACUUGCAUGUGCUUCUUCUCCUGCCUAAAAUAUGGGCCACGAAGUGAGGUGCACUCUGCCAAAGAUACACUUGGCUGGGGAAACCCCGUUUGGGGCGAAGUUGCAGGGAGAAUGGAAGGCCGACACUGAGAACCAGGGCUUUGCCCUUCAGCCCCCACCCCCUCAUCUGUUCCCACUCAGUAGGGGAAAAAAAUCUUUAAUGAGUCCACAACAAUAAAAAUAAAAAUAGUUCUUCUCAAAGGAAGUAACCCUCUUUCUCCCAUCACUUUGGGACACACUAAACUAAAUAGUAACCAGAUUGCUUGGUUGUCUGAGACCCUCUGCUAAACCUGAUGCCUCAGUAGCCACGGGAAGGAUGUGGACUUCUUCAGAUGUUUAAGGACCUUGGAGAUUUAAACUGUGAGUCAGAAAAGAGUCAACUGUAAGUUCAAGUUCAAGGCAUUACCUGUUCCUGUGCUUUAGGGAAGGGACGAAGAGCUUGGGGGAGGGGGGAACAGGUGCCUCUCCCAGCCAAGGAGAUAAAUUAACCCCCGCAUCCAUAGUGAUAGAAGGAGGUCUCUUGAUAUUUUAUUGAAGCCUCAGUGUCUCCUCUAGAGGGUGUCUUGAAAUGUGAUAAGUUGGCCAUGAUCUGCCAAUAGACCAUUUCUUAAGAACAAAUUCUAGGAGAUCUCCUGGGUUUUACCAAGAAAGACAGAUGUGCCUCCAGGGUAUUUCCCACUUGGACACAGAAAGCCCUCAAAUGGGGACCUGGCCUCCAACCCUGUGAAGGGCUUGAUAGCCAUUUUCAUCCUGGGUCCUCCAGCUGGCUCUUGCACCUGUGUGC
rnacentral:lncRNA from 1 species